rnacentral:lncRNA from 1 species
GCCGUGCCCCUCGCCGCGGCCUCAUUCGCCGCCGCCGCCUUCGGAUACCUCUUCUGCUAAAUCCGUCGUCGACUCUCCGUAGCGUGGCGUGUGACCCUUCUUGGUCUUGUCCUUCUUGGUUUAUUGUUCUUGGUGUGUGUGCGUGUGUUCGUGCCGGGGUGUGAGGUGUGGGCGCGUGCGUGCGUGUAUGUAUGGGUCGCGGUGGUGUGGGAGGUGUCGAGUACGUGCGUGCGCCGGCGUGCCAUUCUUUGUGUUGGUGAUCAUGUACUUACUCUCUUGUUCUUGCUAUGAAUGAGACCAUUUAUUUGAUUCUUUCUCUCCAGCUUAAACACCAAGUCUUGACUGUUCUGAUGCAUGCAUGCUGUUGAGAUGAUGAAUCUUUGCGUUUCGCAUCACCAAAUGUUCCUUCAGGAAAUUUCGUGCUAAAAAACCUCAGUAUACAAAUGAAACUAAAGUACCAAAUUAACUCUGUUCAACGUCAAAUUUGCCAUAUGAAGAUCGAUUUGAUGCACGCUCCGCAUUUGCGACCGGCAAAACAUCAAUUAUUCAAACACGGAACUGCUGGCUUCUGUGUCGUACGAAGAGGUGAAAAAUGAAUUAAGAUCUUCGAGCAAUGCAAUUUGGAAACCAAAUAGGCCUCUUCUGUUUUCUGAAGAACAGUCUCGGGGAUUUUUCUCAUUUUUUGUGUGGUACGUACAUGUACUACUUGGAAGGUUUGUUUGGAGACGCCAGGUUGUUAAUUGGGUGAGCGAUCCGAAGGGUGGAAUGAUUGGACCAUGUGGCCGCCAUGUGCAGCUGCUCAGCAUCGGUCCACAGCUGAGUUGUCGAGGUAGGGCAACCGUACCAACUGUAUCAUUUUCUGCGACGACGCACCAACGGUAUCAUGCAAACGGUAAGAUGGUGAAUUGAACUCCGAACCGUGCGUUUCGCUGAGUUACAGCGCAGUUGAACCGUUCGUGUGUUUGUUGUCAAAAAAUUUGCGCUUAGUGUUUGCCCAGGAAGAAUAAUGGCCUGAGCGUCUAAGUUCAUUUUUUUUUGUCUGUAUAAGUUCAUUUUUGGGAGGAAAGGGAGGGCGACAGGCGUCAGGCUGGAAAACUGUAAGCCCGGCCCGAUUGUAAACAUGAAACUGGACGACGCCCAUGUUGAAAAUUGUGGGCUAUGCGGUCUACCCUUUAAUUCCUCUGCCUUUUUCGUGGUGCCGCUCACAAUGCAUAUUGAGGUUAAAGGGUAGGGACCUAUUUAUAGACUCCACUUCUAGACGUUUUAUUAUUCCACCUGUUUCCGGAAAGAUCCGUACAACUCCUAGGCAAUGUUACCAACCACGAUAAAACAUGCCGGUUUUCCGAGUCUAAAUAUAUUAGUCAUUAGCACACAUGUGUGAGUCAUGUGCAUGAUUAGAUUGUAUAUGUGAGAUCAACUUCCAAUCUUAAGCAUGUGGGUCAACAGCCUGCAGAGCCGAUCCUGCAAAACAAACCCAGCUCUUCCACCCUGUGAUGUCCCAGGAAAAUACAUACGUACAUAUAAAUUCCAGUAGAGUCGAUCCCUAUUAAUUCCUCUAUUGUAUUCCAUCACAGUCGUCCUCGGCACCUCGAGUUUUACUUCCUCGAGUGAAAUUCCGCAUCAGUUAUUCCCCGUCACAAAUAUUAAUAAUAUGAAUAAUUCCAAGUUGAUUUAAAUAAAUAAUAGUCAUGUUGAAUAAAUGUUGAAAGCCACAUAAUUAUCCAACAUCUCUCACUUGGCUGAAACAUAUUUAAUCAAUAAAUGAAGUUCCAUGUGUAAACAUGUGUUGAAAACAAUUCCUGACUAUAGUCAGUGAAUCUGCACCAUAUUAGAAUUAUUAUACAAAUAAAUGAAAUAUACGUACCUGAGUUUAAUCAUUCCACACCUAGUGUAUACAAUGCUAACUUCCUCAAUGUAUUUACUUUUAACCAAAAACUCAAGAAUAGUUGACAGGUUGUGAUGCACAUUCCACAAUCUCAUAUGAUGUGUGAGAUUCCCUUAGCCACACAUAUUUCCUUACAUUACUUGAAUGCACCAAUAAAUUCCGGUAGCUAAGGUUCAUAGUAUAAAAAAAAUUAAUACAAAUUCCAAUACCAUUAAGUAUCCCAAUUUUCCUCAGGAGUUCAAACAUAAUUCCUCACUAAGUAUGAUUCCCCUUAUCAAGGUAUUUUAAGAGGUUUGCAAUUUCCCAUGAAAAAUGUAUCGCUACACUUACUAUGUAUUUCCACUCCCAAAAAA